AUGACAGAAGAGAGUGAGCACACAUAGUACUUUCUCGCAUGAUGGAUGCCAGAAGCUCUGCGUGCUCACCCUCUAUCUGUCAU
rnacentral:pre_miRNA from 1 species